GCAAGUCGAGCGCACCUUCGGGUGAGCGGCGGACGGGUUAGUAACGCGUGGGAACGUGCCCUUCACUACGGAAUAGUCUCGGGAAACUGGGUUUAAUACCGUAUACGCCCUUCGGGGGAAAGAAUUUCGGUGAAGGAUCGGCCCGCGUUAGAUUAGAUAGUUGGUGGGGUAAUGGCCUACCAAGUCUACGAUCUAUAGCUGGUUUUAGAGGAUGAUC
rnacentral:rRNA from 1 species